rnacentral:rRNA from 1 species
UGGGGAACUUGCGCAAUGGGCGAAAGCCUGACGCAGCCAUGCCGCGUGGAUGAUGAAGGUCUUAGGAUUGUAAAAUCCUUUCACCGGUGAAGAUAAUGACUGUAGCCGGAGAAGAAGCCCCGGCUAACUUCGUGCCAGCAGCCGCGGUAAUACGAAGGGGGCUAGCGUUGCUCGGAAUUACUGGGCGUAAAGGGAGCGUAGGCGGACAUUUAAGUCAGGGGGUGAAAUCCCGAGGCUCAACCUCGGAACUGCCUUUGAUACUGGGUGUCUUGAGUGUGANAGAGGUAUGUGGAACUCCGAGUGUAGAGGUGAAAUUCGUAGAUAUUCGGAAGAACACCAGUGGCGAAGGCGACAUACUGGCUCAUUACUGACGCUGAGGCUCG